rnacentral:lncRNA from 1 species
UGGUGGGAGCUCUCAACCGGUACUAAAGGGGGUCAUGGGGGGCUCCUGGGGAACUAGCCGUUAGACCUAAUACGAAUGCUCACAUUAGUACCGGGUCAAAAACCAACCAGUACUAAGGGCUAGGACAAAAGCUCAGUUUUCCAGUAGUGAUCAUGAUAAGCAUGGUUGUGUGGUUGGUGCGGGGAGAGCUUGGCGAAAGCCAUGACCAACUUGGUGUUGGUAGUGAUGACAGCAUCAUUGUGG